rnacentral:rRNA from 1 species
CCAGACUCCUACGGGAGGCAGCAGUAGGGAAUCUUCGGCAAUGGACGAAAGUCUGACCGAGCAACGCCGCGUGAGUGAAGAAGGUUUUCGGAUCGUAAAGCUCUGUUGUAAGUCAAGAACGUGUGUGAGAGUGGAAAGUUCACACAGUGACGGUAGCUUACCAGAAAGGGACGGCUAACUACGUGCCAGCAGCCGCGGUAAUACGUAGGUCCCGAGCGUUGUCCGGAUUUAUUGGGCGUAAAGGGAGCGCAGGCGGUCAGGAAAGUCUGGAGUAAAAGGCUAUGGCUCAACCAUAGUGUGCUCUGGAAACUGUCUGACUUGAGUGCAGAAGGGGAGAGUGGAAUUCCAUGUGUAGCGGUGAAAUGCGUAGAUAUAUGGAGGAACACCAGUGGCGAAAGCGGCUCUCUGGUCUGUCACUGACGCUGAGGCUCGAAAGCGUGGGUAGCGAACAGGAUUAGAUACCCUGGUAGUCCACGCCGUAAACGAUGAGUGCUAGGUGUUAGGCCCUUUCCGGGGCUUAGUGCCGGAGCUAACGCAAUAAGCACUCCGCCUGGGGAGUACGACCGCAAGGUUGAAACUCAAAGGAAUUGACGGGGGCCCGCACAAG